UCCUGUAUUUUUAAAUAUAGAAUAAUAUAGCAUGCCCACAACGCCGAAAGCACUGUUCGCUUUUCCAAGUCAUGUACCAGCUAGGCCAUCGACAUACAUUAUAGAAAUGCAUCAAUUCGUAAACGAAAUUUUAGUUGUUUUUAAUAUCAUCAUUUUUCAAAAUUUA
rnacentral:lncRNA from 1 species